rnacentral:rRNA from 1 species
AGUGAACGCUGGCGGUAGGCCUAACACAUGCAAGUCGAACGGCGGCACAGUAAGAGCUUGCUCUUACGGGUGGCGAGUGGCGGACGGGUGAGGAAUACAUCGGAAUCUACUUUUUCGUGGGGGAUAACGUAGGGAAACUUACGCUAAUACCGCAUACGACCUACGGGUGAAAGCAGGGGAUCUUCGGACCUUGCGCGAUUGAAUGAGCCGAUGUCGGAUUAGCUAGUUGGCGGGGUAAAGGCCCACCAAGGCGACGAUCCGUAGCUGGUCUGAGAGGAUGAUCAGCCACACUGGAACUGAGACACGGUCCAGACUCCUACGGGGGGCAGCAGUGGGGAAUAUUGGACAAUGGGCGCAAGCCUGAUCCAGCCAUACCGCGUGGGUGAAGAAGGCCUUCGGGUUGUAAAGCCCUUUUGUUGGGAAAGAAAAGCAGCAGGUUAAUACCCCGCUGUUCUGACGGUACCCAAAGAAUAAGCACCGGCUAACUUCGUG